CCGACCAUAGCUCAGUUGGAAGAGCACAAAACUGUAAUUGGAUGCCAUCUUGGGGUCGCCUGUUCGAACCAGGCUGGUCGGA